GGACGUGUAGCUCAGUGGUAGAGCGAGGGAUUGCAGAUCCCUAGGUCGGGGUUUCGAAUACCCCCGGGUCCU
rfam:Ophiostoma piceae TAMH 11346 chromosome Tnknown scf04, whole genome shotgun sequence.